ACCUCUUUAUUAUGUAAAUCAGGUGACCAUGUUAGUGAAAGGUGUUCAGGUAGGACCAAGGUCAGUAGAAGACGGAGAAGGAUGUCCCAUAAGCCAUAUUACUGCUACUGCCACAUGUAAGCCGAAAAGAUGGCACUGAAACCAGCGGCAGUAUCUCUGACUCUAAGUACCGUUUACGAAGAUACCAUGCAGAAGCGUCCUACUCAGAGACACGUCUCGUGUUUGACACAUACAGCGCCACACCCAUGCCAUGAUUGCCUCCCAUGCCGACGUUUGUCUGCUCGUUAAUUUGCAGGGACGACAUUUAUAAGGCGUUCAGCGCAGUGUGAGAUGUCAUCCAGAUCAGUCACUUUACAGCUGGGUCGUGGAAGAAGAAGACGCAAGAUAGGUGUGGUGAAGUCGCAAGGCCGAAUAUUCUAUUAAUUGGAAUAAAUUUGUCUUAACACUGUAAUUUCCUUUGCCAAGAUGCUGCAAAAUGCAUAUACGACUGAUAGAAGCUGACCUAGUCUUCCGUAUUUUCAAAAUGAUAGCUUUAAAAUAAAUUUUCUGCAUACUCGUAUGGCGCACUAAGAUUGAUCGUGCUUCACUUUUCUUAAAGUCAGACAUCAAUUAUUUUUAUUAUCAAAUAAUGCCAUAAGGAUUGAUCGAUAUAAAUAAUAAAAUGAAUAUAAUUAGAUGAUAAAACUUUAAUUUGAUUCCACUGAACCAGUCAGUUUUUUUUCCCAAUUUUUGUUAUGCCAUAGUUUCAUAAUAUAAACCCUAUACUAUAAUAUGAAAAGCCAUAAUAUAAUCUCAAAGUGCUUACAUAUCACAACUUUCAAAUUUAAAGUUGCAUCUUCACUAGAUCGCAAGUUGAAAUUCGAGUACGAAUAUUUAUUGUGAUUUACUAUUGUAAAAUUCGUUAUGAUGAUAUACAUUGUAGAAGAAAACUUUUAUUUUAUCAUUUGUAACUUAACUCUGACAUUUGUGAACGUAAAUAAUUUUUGCCUGAAUAAAUACGCUUUUUGAAGA